rnacentral:rRNA from 1 species
CCUACGGGGGGCAGCAGUGGGGAAUAUUGGGCAAUGGGCGCAAGCCUGACCCAGCAACGCCGCGUGAAGGAAGAAGGCUUUCGGGUUGUAAACUUCUUUUGUCAGGGAAGAGUAGAAGACGGUACCUGACGAAUAAGCUACGGCUAACUACGUGCCAGCAGCCGCGGUAAUACGUAGGUGGCAAGCGUUGUCCGGAUUUACUGGGUGUAAAGGGCGUGUAGCCGGGUUGACAAGUCAGAUGUGAAAUCCUGCGGCUUAACCGCAGAACUGCAUUUGAAACUGUGGAUCUUGAGUACGGGAGAGGCAGACGGAAUGCGUGGUGUAGCGGGGAAAUGCGUAGAUAUUAGGAGGAACACCAGUGGCGAAGGCGGUCUGCUGGACAGCGACUGACGGUGAGGCGCGAAAGCGUGGGGAGCAAACAGGAUUAGAUACCCGGGUAGUC